ensembl:lncRNA
CGCGCGCGCCAUUGUUGUUUGGCUGGAUGCUUAGGCCUCCUUUGGUCCGUGGGCCGGGAACGGCGGGGAGCGCCUGUUUAGCUGCCCUGCUUUCGAGGGCACCUUGGAGAGCUCGGGCCGAAGUAGGGCGCGGUGUCCCCUGUCCCUUACCCUGCAGCACCGACUCUGCUAGGGCCUCUUCCGGACCCAGGGAUCAAAUACGAGUUUCUUGCGUCUCCUGCAUUGGCAGGUGGAUUCUUCACCACUGUGACGCCUGAGAAGCCCCUCUGGGGAGAAUGAAUACACAAUUUCAGAUUUGCACAGUUUCAUAUUUUGGGGUGUUAGUGCUGCAGUGCUGGAUAAAGCACAAAUUGGAAUCAAGAUUGCCAGAAGUAUCAAUAACCUCAGGUAAGCAGAUGACACGACCCACACAGCAGAAAGUGAAGAGGAACUAAAGAGCCUCUUGAUGAAAAUCAAAGAGGGGAGUGAAAAAGUUGGGUUAAAGCUCAACGUUCAAAAAACUAAGAUCAUGGCAUCUGAUCCCAUCACUUCAUGGCAAAUAGAUGGGGAAACAGUGACUGAUUUUAUUUUCUUG